rnacentral:rRNA from 1 species
UAGGGAAUCUUCCGCAAUGGGCGAAAGCUUGACGGAGCAACGCCGCGUGAGUGAUGAAGGUCUUCGGAUCGUAAAACUCUGUUAUUAGGGAAGAACAAAUGUGUAAGUAACUAUGCACGUCUUGACGGUACCUAAUCAGAAAGCCACGGCUAACUACGUGCCAGCAGCCGCGGUAAUACGUAGGUGGCAAGCGUUAUCCGGAAUUAUGGGGCGUAAAGCGCGCGUAGGCGGUUUUUUAAGUCUGAUGUGAAAGCCCACGGCUCAACCGUGGAGGGUCAUUGGAAACUGGAAAACUUGAGUGCAGAAGAGGAAAGUGGAAUUCCAUGUGUAGCGGUGAAAUGCGCAGAGAUAUGGAGGAACACCAGUGGCGAAGGCGACUUUCUGGUCUGUAACUGACGCUGAUGUGCGAAAGCGUGGGGAUCAAACAGG